GAUGGCUUGCGUUUCUUUCUGAGUCCGCCUGCCCGGGGCUGUUUGUGAAGUCAUGUGUGUGUGUGUGUGUAUGUGUGCGUGUUCAUUUACCUGUGUACUACCUGUAAAUACCGGCCGGACUCGUUAUACAGUAUCUAUUAACAUAAUUAUGAGCUAAAAGAUUACUACUGUCCAUGUACUUUCAGAAGAGAGCUGAGAGAAACCACAAGAACAUUUGCUUAGCAAAUAUUUACGCAGAGCCCGACGGCUAGGCAUUGUGCAAAACGCUGAGGGCAUGCUCUAGGCAAAAGUAGGCAGGUCGCUGCUAUUCUGAAGUUUACAGCCGGUCUGGUGGAGGACAAACGUUAAGCAAAUGGUCACCCAAACAAAAUAUAAAAUUGCGGCUCUUACAAGUUCCACGAAGGAAGGGAAUCUGUGCUGUGAAAUAUGAUUCUGGAGGCAAGGCGGGCAGGACAGUCCCCAGUAAAGCCUGUGUUGUCAUGGUAACCACAGACUCUAUCAUUGGAUACUUGAUAACUAUUUUAGAAAAAAGGUAAAAGCCUCAAUACUUCACCUUGUACAAAUAAAAGAGACUGAAGGGAAGAAACGAUGGAAACAAGAGAAGAAAGGGACCCAUGGAAAGAAAAAAAUUGAAGCAUCCGGAGACUCUCUUGCGAGCUACAUGACCUUGAGGCUGACAUCUAUGGAGCUACUAUGACACUGUAGAAGCCCUCUCUGCUUUUCUUGACAUUGCCGUUUUGGAAGAAACCAGGCCAUUCAUCUUAGAGAAAGUACCACAGUCUGGAUUUGGCCAAUGUUUUUCCUGGAGGUGCCAUUUAACCGGUUCUUCUGUCUUCCAAGUUAUCUUUAAAUUGGAAUGCUGGUCUUAAGGCUUUACUGCUUUUUAAGUUAAAUAAACAUUGUGCCAAAAAUGCCUCAAAGUCGAUGCUGUGUAGUUCAUAUUACAUCAUAUCAAAAUUUCCAUGCCCACUUCCUCUUCAAAAUACUUUGUGGUUUUGUAGGCAUCUCCAGGGUAUGGCUACACCAGUGGUUUUCCACUCUAGCUUCACUUAGAGUCAUCUGGGGAGGUUUAAAAAGUAUUUGUUCCCGACUUGCAUCCUUAGAGUUGCUUGUCACGGGCCCAUUCCACUGGAUUGUUGUGAAGCUUCCC